UACGUAGGGAGCGAGCGUUGUCCGGAUUCAUUGGGCGUAAAGAGCUCGUAGGCGGCUUGGCAAGUCGGGUGUGAAAACUCCAGGCUCAACCUGGAGACGCCACCUGAUACUGCCAUGGCUAGAGUCCGGUAGGGGACCACGGAAUUCCUGGGUGUAGCGGUGAAAUACGCAGAUAUCAGGAGGAACACCGGUGGCGAAGGCGGUUCUCUGGGCCUUACCUGACGCUGAGGAGCGAAAGCGUGGGGAGCAAACAGG
rnacentral:rRNA from 1 species